rnacentral:sRNA from 1 species
AGCCUAAACCCUAUAUAAUUUUGGGCAUGGCGAAAAAAUCUCUUGGAAGGUGCAGAACCCUGCGUUCAGCUAUUCUUCCAAGAGUCACAUCUCGAAAGAGAUGUGGGGUCGCAAGAUCC